rnacentral:rRNA from 1 species
AGUGAACGCUGGCGGUAGGCCUAACACAUGCAAGUCGAACGGCAGCACAGUAAGAGCUUGCUCUUACGGGUGGCGAGUGGCGGACGGGUGAGGAAUACAUCGGAAUCUACUUUUUCGUGGGGGAUAACGUAGGGAAACUUACGCUAAUACCGCAUACGACCUACGGGUGAAAGCAGGGGAUCUUCGGACCUUGCGCGAUUGAAUGAGCCGAUGUCGGAUUAGCUAGUUGGCGGGGUAAAGGCCCACCAAGGCGACGAUCCGUAGCUGGUCUGAGAGGAUGAUCAGCCACACUGGAACUGAGACACGGUCCAGACUCCUACGGGAGGCAGCAGUGGGGAACAUUGGACAAUGGGCGCAAGCCUGAUCCAGCCAUACCGCGUGGGUGAAGAAGGCCUUCGGGUUGUAGAGCCCUUUUGUUGGGAAAGAAAAGCAGCAGGUUAAUACCCCGCUGUUCUGACGGUACCCAAAGAAUAAGCACCGGCUAACUUCGUG